GUCCAUAUGAGGACACGAUCUGCUCGCAAUGUCAGUAUACAUUAUAUAUACGAAUAUACACCUUGAUAAUCAUCUGCAUCUGGACUUCUUUGGCACCCCAGGCCAUCUACUGUCUCUGUUCUCAGAUGCGAAGUGAUCAAGUCGUUCCAGUCUUCAUCAUCAACCUUCUCCUCGCAGACAGCCUUCAGAUUUUCUGUAUGAUUGCGAAAGUGGCAUGCUUAACACAUUAUGUUUGGUUUUUCGAGUACUGGGGUGCGAUAGCCAGUGUUUUUUUCAUGACUUUUAUUGCCAUGCAAAGGUAUUUCCUUAUUGCCUGGCCGUUUUGGUACAGAUUCAGCCGAAGACUCAAGGUUUCGGCAUCAGCCAGCGCUGUCAGCUGGAUCCUUUCUAUUUAUAUUGGUUUCAAUGAUGGAGGCUGGCUGGCAGCCGUUCCCCUGCCCCUGUUCAUAUUCUUCCUUGUUCAGACCCUUAAAGCACUGUCUACAUCCCAUAAUGUCCCAUCAGAUGAAAAACGACAAAUUGUUGCAGUUGGGACUGUGGUGGUGUUCACUUACACUCUGACAUUCGUGCCCUAUAUUAUUAGAAAGGUAUUCUCAAAGUGGUGCCGGAGUUGUCACUAUACCAGAUACACAAACCUUCUCAUUUUGUCUUACAUCGUAACUCAGAUAAGUCCUCUGACAGACUUACUUCUGUACAUUCUUAUCAAGAAAUGGGUCUUUGACAAACUGCUGGCUUUUCUGUGUUCUUGCAGAAACACUAAGGAUGUGGAGCCACAGACAACCAGCAUUACAACAACAUCUACCUGGUCAGCUUCUCACAGGCAGACAGAAGCAGAAAAUAACCCUUGAAAUAUAAAAUCAUUAAACACAUCAGACAUAAACAUUUAAUCCAUGCAAAGAAGCAAUACAGCAUCUAAUACUUCAAAAUGCAACCUGCAUGUGAAAAAUUUUGUUUUUUUUUAUGACAAAAUCAACCUUUUACCUUUGGAAGGAUGAAAUGAAAAAUAUGUUUGUAUAGAUUUCCUAAUAAGGGGUUGUGCUCGUGUUUGUACAGUAUUCAUCAUGUGUACAGUUUAGAACAUGUAUGUUGUGUAUUUGUUAAAACAUGUUUAUUAUUUUUGUCAACUGCAGUUCUUUAAAAAAAAACUUUCAUAAAAAAGUUUAGAAAAACUACAGUUGUUUCAAAACCUUUACAAUAGAUUUAUUUAACUAAUUAUUUAACCGUGGCUACAUCUGCUUUUAAGAAUGGUUUACGCAAACAUUUUAUUUUCAGAAGUUUUAAGAACUUGUGAAAAUGUGUAUAAAACAAAUAGUACAUGAAUAGUUUGUUUAUGAAUAUAUUUAGUUUCCUAUUCUUUGUUUUAUUCUGAUAAAGCAAACAUGGUUGAAAGCAACAUUUGUUUCUUUAUCUUGUUGGCUGUCGCCUUUGUAUGCAUUAAAUCUGAAUAUUAUUGGGACUGGUUUCUGCAUUAUACCCAAUUAAAAACAAUGACAAACACAA